CAAUAGCGUAUAUUAAAGUUGUUGCAGUUAAAAAGCUCGUAGUUGGAUUUCUGAUCGAGACAUCAGGUCGGGUCCGAGAGGAUCAUGUACUUUGAUUUUGUUUUGAUCAUCCUUGGGGAGAGCAUUUCUGGCAUUCAGUUGUCGGGAUUGGGAUCCUCAUCGUUUACUGUGAAAAAAUUAGAGUGUUCAAAGCAGGCCUCGGCCUCUGAAUACAUUAGCAUGGAAUAAUAAGAUAGGACUUUGGUGGUCUAUUUUGUUGGCUUGCACGCCAAAGUAAUGAUUAAUAGGGAUAGUUGGGGGUAUUCGUAUUCAAUUGUCAGAGGUGAAAUUCUUGGAUUUAUGGAAGACGAACUACUGCGAAAGCAUUUACCAAGGAUGUUUUCAUUAA
rnacentral:rRNA from 1 species